rnacentral:lncRNA from 9 species
AGUGACCUUGACUGGAAUUUCCCCUCAGAAUGAGAUAGCCGGGAAAUGACAGUGGUGCAUUUUUCAUGGCUCCAUACUGGCCGCUUCAUUCCUCCUCACUUUCCAUCUCUUGCGCUGGUCGGAUCCAGGGUUCAAUGCUCCAAUCAAGGCUGAAGAUAAGAAGUGACAGCUUGCUUUGGACAAGGGAAGGAAGAGUGCCCAUUUCCUGGUGUCCAGUGUGGGAUAGAGACACACAGGGAUUGUUGUCCUUGUCUCCACUUCAGCGUGUCUAUUUUAACACUUGCACGUUGUAUUUGAUGGCAUGUCACUUUGCCAGUAUUCCCUGAGAAAAUAGGAAUUGCAUCGGUUGUUUUAGCCUAGGCACAAUGCCUAGUACUUAGUAGGUGCUUGAUAAAGCAGUCUUAUUAUAUAAUUUAAAUAAAAUAAUAUAGUUUCUCUUCCUCCAUCCCCCAUAGUUUUCAUUAUGUUGCUCUUGAUAUUAAGGUGGCCCUGGGGUGAAAAUCAUGAUAAUUUCUCUCAGGUUUUUAAUACACAUACGUUACUUAGAUAUCAGAUCAUCAUGACACACCUCACAAGAGACAGGAAGAAAAUGACAGUGUUUGCAGGUGUCGAGGUAUGCAGGAGUUCCCUUUGGCCAUUAGUUUGAUGUUGUAGUUACAAGUGAAAGCCACCAGAUGGCUUAAGGAAAUGAGUUUAUUUCCAAUCGAGAUUUUUGCUGAGAAAUCCAAGACCAAGUAAAGCAUGAUUAGAGGGAACUUAAAAGACUCUCCAUAGUGAACCCCAAAUAACCAACAACCCCCCACUUACCAGUGUCAUCUGAUUUCAGUAGUGGGUUUGUAGAGGUUUUGCAAACUUCAGCAUGAAAAACACUUAACUCUGCAUCAUCCUGCCAUUGUCUAUGUGCUUAAGAAUUACAGAAUAAUUACUGAAAUUUAGUUCAGUUCCACAAAUAUUUAUUGAGUGCCUAAGUCCUAAUUGAACCUGAGAGGCUUAUUGAAGCAUAUGCUGCACGAAACAUUGCUUACUCAACAUGGAAAACAUCCAGGAGACCAGAGGUAAAGAUUGGUGUUUUUUCUCUGUGUGCACCAGUGCUGGUGACAGUUUCAAGGGGACAUGCUGGCAGAAAAUGAUUGUGACCUAGAACGUUUUUGCAUAUUGUCUGAAGGCAGAAGAGGCAAAAGACAAAACAAAACAAAGCAAAGCCAAACUUUGGAUGACCAUAGUAUUUCUACAUCAAAAUAUAUUCCAUAUGGUAUAUGAAAACCAGAGCUGAAAUUGUUAAAGUAGAUUAAAACAUUUUAAUGAGGCAAUUUAAAAAUAAACCUACAUAUAAAAAGAUCUGGGAGGGGGUAUACCAACAGUAGGAUAGUUCGGGUUGCUCUUUUAUUUUAUAGUCUAGAUGCCCCAUACUGUAUAAAAAUUUUGGAACCAGCACAUGUUUAUUUAUAAUUGCAGAAUGUAAGGAAUGAAAUAUAAGCCUAAUUAAAGAAAAUUCCAUUCAUUUAUUAGAAAAAUAUACUACUAGGUAGGCACUUUGAAGGUAGCAUAGCUCAAAGAUGGAGUCAUGAAUUAGGGAUCUUAGUUUCU